AUUGAACGCUGGCGGCAUGCUUUACACAUGCAAGUCGAACGGCAGCGCGGGCUUCGGCCUGGCGGCGAGUGGCGAACGGGUGAGUAAUGCAACGGAACGUGCCCAGUAGUGGGGGAUAGCCCGGCGAAAGCCGGAUUAAUACCGCAUACGACCUGAGGGUGAAAGCGGGGGACCGAAAGGCCUCGCGCUAUUGGAGCGGCCGAUGUCGGAUUAGCUAGUUGGUGGGGUAAAGGCUUACCAAGGCGACGAUCCGUAGCUGGUCUGAGAGGACGACCAGCCACACUGGGACUGAGACACGGCCCAGACUCCUACGGGAGGCAGCAGUGGGGAAUUUUGGACAGUGGGGGCAACCCUGAUCCAGCCAUGCCGCGUGCGGGAAGAAGGCCUUCGGGUUGUAAACCGCUUUUGUUCGGGAAGAAAUCCUCUGGGCUAAUACCCCGGGGGGAUGACGGUACCGGAAGAAUAAGCACCGGCUAACUACGU
rnacentral:rRNA from 1 species